rnacentral:lncRNA from 1 species
CAUAGGACCAAUGGCUAAAUGCAUUUGCAGCAGCCUUACUUGUGAGGGGAGAAACUUGUGAGGGGAGAAAGCAGCCAGCCUGGACUACAUGAGGACCCUGGCUUGGUUUCCAGCACCUACAUGAUGACUCAGUCACAUCUGUCACUUCAGUCCAGGGAAUCAGAUGUCCUCUUCUGACUGUCAUGGGCAACAGGCAUAUGUGCAAAAUAAAUCUUAAAAAAUGAAAACCAAGAUGUCCCAACAGGUAAAGGCACUUGCUACUAAGCCCAACGACCCGAGUUUGGUCCCUGAGACCCUCAUGGUGAAUGGAAAAAGCAGACUGAACCAUGUCACCUUCUGACAUCUACAUGUGUGCCAUGUGCCUCCCCUGAAUAAAUACACAGAUGUUAU